UUUUACGAUCUGCGGUGUGGAUUGGCUGUAUGUUGGAUGUUCCCACUAGAACAAAUACUGCAUGCUUGAAACUACUCAGCAUUAUUCGGUUAAAAACUUUGGCGCUUAAUGAUUACAACGCAGCUAAACGAUUUUUGGAAAAAUAUAAAAGCUACAAUUUGCUGUCUAUACCGUUGCAAAAAAGACGCGGCCUUCGUUGAUAUUAACUUAAGAAUCUUUUGCGUUCUUCUGCUUGUACAGUAAAUAAGCUCCACAUAUUGAUUUUUCAGUAACAGCUGUUUAACUAAACAUGCCAGAAUGCCUUCGUGUUCUGCGUAUCGGUGUAGAAACCGUUCAGAAGAUGCCAAGAAGAAAGGCCUCACAUUUCACAGGUUUCCAGCAAGUGACCCCAAAAGGCUACGGCAGUGGGUUAUAAAUAUGAAGUGGGAUAAGUGGAUGCCAUCGAAACGGUCACUUCUGUGCUCCAGUCACUUCCAGGAGGACUGCUUUGACAGAAGUGGACUAACAGUGCGUCUCACACCUUCGGCUGUGCCAACUAUAUUCUCCUUCCCUGCUCAUCUACAAAAGAAAUCUCUUGGUCGAAAGCCCCCAAAGAGACCAGUAAUUACAGCAACACCAACAAUGUCUCUUAAAAGCCCAUCCAUAGCUACUGUUAGUGGAAAUACAGUCCCUACUCUUUUCAGAAAAAUGGUUGUGAAUGAGCACAAUUAUGCAGUUCUGGAGUCAUCUCGGCAAUUAAAGCAAAAACUGGAUAUUUUGAAUGAGCAGCUGGACAUUUAUCAAAAAAAGCUGAGCAAUGAACGGAAAGAGUCAGCCCGCCUGAAGAAGAAGGCGUGCCACUUAGCUUCAGUUGUGGCCAGCCUUAGGAAACGGAGAAAACAAAGAAUUCUUCAUCAGACAGCUACAGCUGAUUGACCUGCAUCACCAUUCUGUUUAAAGUGAUUGAAUUGAUGAAGCCGAUAAAUAUUUGCAUGCAAAAAGUGGCAAGGAUCACAAGGAGUAAACAUCUGAUUUAUUUUUGCUUUGGACACAAUAUCAGUGAUGUCUCGUCCUGAUGUGAGUACUGUUGACCAUAUCUCCCGUGCCUCUUCUCUGGCAGUGCGCUACAUUGUGGUGGCUUUCUUCAUGCUACACUCUUAAGGAACCAUCACAGUCACCAGCCAGAAUAUCAUUCCGUUUAUGCAAAACAGGAUUUUUAUGCACUCUGAAACUUCCGUGGAAGAGACUAGAGUAAGUUCAACAACGUGAGAGACUGUGGAAAAUUUUCUGCUGUCCUGCUGUCGGAUCCUUCACAAAUUGUGAAAUAGUGACGAGCAAAGAGUCCAGCACCACUUUCGUGGUGAUGACUUCUCUUAAUGCCCCUACUUUGGCCCAGUUGGAGUAGAACUGUGCGUAAACUGUGCAUGGUGGCAAGGAUCUGGGAGUCUUUGCGAGAGGCGUCUCCAGCGAGGCCUUGUCGUGUUCUGCUGCCUGCGAUGAAGGCAGAGUGAACCCCAAGGUGGUUGAAUCCUAGAUCCUCCUCACCCAUGUAGCACAGCAGAGGUUCUCAUUGGGUCUUUUGCAAGGUGAUGCCUGGUGACUGAGCAUCAUAGCCGCUUUUGACCUCAGCAAACUGCAGGAAAUAUGGUUUCAUCCUCAAGCUUUUCUGCUAUUAGCAGUGGGACAUCCUUUCCCAGGAACCUCCCCCGACGGCAGCAUCCUGUUAGACAUCUUACUGUUCGGAGCCUGUGUCAGUAGCCAGAAGGGCCUGGAGUGAGCGGAGCACCUGAUAUUUUUCAAAAGAAACAUUUUCUUAACUUUUUGUAUGUACCUAUGAGUGUUUAACCUGCAGAGAAAAAAACACACUGCUUGUUCUCUAUGUUACUCUGGUAUUGUUGAAACCUGAAAUAUUAUAGUUUGUUGAAUGUUGUGACGUGUCGCCAGAAGUGUUCCUGUGAUACUUCUAUACCUUUCUUUGAAAACUGCAGACCCCACUGUGAGAACUUUGGGAAUUCUGUAGCUCCUAAGGAAAUGACUAAUAAAAUCUCAGCUCAUUUGGUUACA